rnacentral:rRNA from 1 species
UACGUAGGGUGCGAGCGUUGUCCGGAUUCAUUGGGCGUAAAGGGCGCGCAGGCGGCUCGGAAAGUCGGGUGUGAAAACUCGGGGCUCAACCCCGGGCGUGCAUCCGAUACUGCCGGGCUUGAGGCAGGUAGGGGAGAUCGGAAGUUCCUGGUGUAGCGGUGGAAAUGACGCAGAUAUCAGGAGGAACACCGGUGGCGAAGGCGGAUCUCUGGGCCUGUCCUGACGCUGAGGCGCGAAAGCUAGGGGGAGCGAACAGG